rnacentral:lncRNA from 1 species
GGGGGGGGGGGGGCUCCAGAGGCAGUGACAAUUGGCACACUUGGGGCUUUGCUCCAGGACGAGCAGCAGCCCCCGUCUCCCCCCCUUCCCACCUGGAGCCCCCCCACCCCGGGUGGGAGCAGCAAGGGCUGGGCAUGGGUGGGCUUGGCACAGUGCCCCUUGGGGGGGGCUACAUGACCUCGUAGCCGCUGCGGAUGCCCUUCAUCAGGCAGCAGGUGAAGAUGAUGCCCAGGAUCUCAAAGAAGGCAAUACCCAACGCAACAGCGGCCACGAUGAGGAUGUUCUUCUUCAUCCACACUUCAAUGCCCUUCUGGCAGCCCUCUUCAUAGAUGGUGCUGGGGGUGGGGUUGAUGUUGCAGGUGGUGGUGUUGACGCGGCAGCAGGAGCGCGGCACGGUGUUGUUGGCCCGGAACCGCUCGAGGGUGGCCCAGUCCGUGUAGUUGUUGGCACCACAGCAGUGGAAGUCCUCCUGCAGUUUAUCCACUGCCUCUGUCAGCGGCACAUCCUCGCCGUAUUUGCGCAUGGUGUCCCACAGCCCCUCCUCCAGCACUGAGCGGACCUUAUCCUUGAAGACGUAACCGGCGAUGGCAGCGGCGAUCUCCACCAGGAAGAUGAUGCUGAGCAGAACGGCGAACGUGGUGACCAUGCAGUAGCUCUCCUUCCAGGCCCCGCAGCAGCCGAAGAAGGAAACGAAGAAGAUGAUGAUGCCCACCACCAUGAUGGCCACCGGGCUGCUGGCAGCUGAGCUGCUGCCCGCCACCAGGGCCUUAUUGAGGGCCACGUGAGCGUAGAUGCCGAUGGCCACCAGGGCCACGCCGCACACCCAGAAGAUAAAGUUAAAGAUGAACACCAAAAACUUCACGCACUUCAUUCCGCCCUCCACCGCCAUGGCGAAUCCGGCGCCGCCGCUCCUCCGUAUGCUCUCCGGUCAUGUGACGGAGCCUC